GACGAACGCUGGCGGCGUGCUUAACACAUGCAAGUCGAACGGAAAGGCCCUGCUUUUGUGGGGCGCUCGAGUGGCGAACGGGUGAGUAACACGUGAGUAACCUGCCCUUGACUUUGGGAUAACUUCAGGAAACUGGGGCUAAUACCGGAUAGGAGCUCCUGCUGCAUGGUGGGGGUUGGAAAGUUUCGGCGGUUGGGGAUGGACUCGCGGCUUAUCAGCUUGUUGGUGGGGUAGUGGCUUACCCAGGCUUUGACGGGUAGCCGGCCUGAGAGGGUGACCGGCCACAUUGGGACUGAGAUACGGCCCAGACUCCUACGGGAGGCAGCAGUGGGGAAUAUUGCACAAUGGGCGGAAGCCUGAUGCAGCAACGCCGCGUGCGGGAUGACGGCCUUCGGGUUGUAAACCGCUUUCGCCUGUGACGAAGCGUGAGUGACGGUAAUGGGUAAAGAAGCACCGGCUAACUACGUG
rnacentral:rRNA from 1 species